AGUAAUGGAGGCACGACAGUAAACGCUAGAGCAGACGCUAACAAAUGCUGAAGAGUUACCUGCGUAUGUUCACAAAGUUCUGUGCAAUCUGGGACGUUUAAAAGCUGGAGAGACUGACGGUUUUUCACCUGGUGAAAAAUGACUGUUCAUAACUGCUGAAUGUGAAGUAACUGCAUAUGCCUGCCUCUAAAUUCAAAGAAAAUAAAAGAAACAAAAAGAGGAAACAAA